GUCUUGAUCUUGGUUGAGUGUUUAAAACUUUCUACCUUGUACAUAUACUUACUUUAAUUAUGUGUAGACACAUUUAGUUCAUAUUUCUCAAACAUUUUUUUUUAAAACAAUGUCUGUAAUAAGCAUAAAGAUCUCACACGACCCCCAGAUUAAUAUGCAGCCAGUGUAGUAGCUGACAGUCUGGCUUGGCGUCUGAAGAGAGGCAAGAUCCAAAUUCGUCUACUGACUGGUUGGACAGUAAUAGGAUGAAAGAGCGGAAGAACUGAGCAGAAGAAGAAAAAGGUUUUCACAGUGUGGCACGACUUCGUUAGCUGUGCUCAGAGCUGGACGGCACCCGGACUUGCAGGACGAGGCGCAGCAGAGCAGCAAACAGCUGCCGUACCUCCGUGCCGCAACCGCUCAACCCCUCUCCAUCUGCAGUAUUGGGGCUCAGAGAGACAGAGAGGCCCAGUUUUGGGGGGCAGUGGGCUGGACAUGAACACAAUAGCUAGCCGUGGCUUUGACAAUGGCUUCAUCCAGCUCCCGCCCAUUCAGUGCAGAGACCUUUGCUCUCUCUCCAUGACACCCGCAUUCAGCCGGCCAGACAGACAGACAAGGAGGACAAGGACAAAGGCAAGUGCAAAAAAAAAAGAGAAGGGUGGGGGGUACAAAAGCGUGAACUAGCAAGGGAUGAUGAAGAAAAAGAGGAUAAAUGGAAUGGGUAAGAUCGACGGACUGCGCUCACCUUUUGUCCCGUCUCUCACUCUCUUUUUACGCGUCUCAUUCAUCGCCAGAUUAUUUUUCUCCCCUCUUUCAUAGUAAUCCAUCAGGAAAUUUGAAGGACCGAGCAGGCGCUGAGAACACUUUUAUCUGCCUGCCUCGCACUCGCUUCUCAGUUUCGGACAGUGUGCGUGUCCCUCGCGGAGCACUCGGUCCAGUCCAGCCUCGCAUUGCCAUUCAAGAGACGAGCGCGGCAUGGAAAGUCAGCUCGUGGGCCCACUUAUUGGGUAUGGACAAUGUCAAAUGAGAAUGACUGCAAUCAGAAAGAAUGAAUAAGUUUGAGAUUGAGACGUACCCCUGUUUCGCGGCAGCUACAGAGACAAGCAUUAUACCGAGGAGCCAUUCGGAAAGCACUGAACCUACACAGAUGCCUUGCUCUUGCACAGCAAAUCAUUUAUUUAAAGUCAGUCAAAUUAUUGGCCAUCCAUCAACUGAUCAUCGCAUCUCAUUUAAUCCAUGAAAAAAAAUAAAAAAUAUAAAAUGCAAUGCAAUAAAAGAUCAAUAUGAAGUUUGAUAUAUAUUUGAUAGAUACACCAAGUCUAAAUUGAACAAAAUAGGGAAUAGGGAUAUUUAAUAAUCACUUACUGUAAUAUUUAAAAAUGCUAAUAAUUCAGUAUUGCUGUGAUUAAUUAUCUCAAAAAGAAGAUCAUUCCAUCAGCAAUGUUUAGCUCAUGGGUAGGGCCAGACAGAAUCUGCAGACAUUUUUUCCUAUACAGUAUAU